GAGUGGAGAUGGGAAUGGAUUCUGUAAAUCACCUCCUGGGCUGAGACGAGGGUGAGGGGGGCUCCCGACAUUCCAAGGGCCAGGGGUCUUUACUUUUGUCACUCCGAUUGUUACUUAAGUGGUUUACAGA